UGGGGAAUUUUGGACAAUGGGCGAAAGCCUGAUCCAGCAAUGCCGCGUGUGUGAAGAAGGCCUUCGGGUUGUAAAGCACUUUUGUCCGGAAAGAAAUCCUUGGCUCUAAUACAGUCGGGGGAUGACGGUACCGGAAGAAUAAGCACCGGCUAACUACGUGCCAGCAGCCGCGGUAAUACGUAGGGUGCAAGCGUUAAUCGGAAUUACUGGGCGUAAAGCGUGCGCAGGCGGUUUGCUAAGACCGAUGUGAAAUCCCCGGGCUCAACCUGGGAACUGCAUUGGUGACUGGCAGGCUAGAGUAUGGCAGAGGGGGGUAGAAUUCCACGUGUAGCAGUGAAAUGCGUAGAGAUGUGGAGGAAUACCGAUGGCGAAGGCAGCCCCCUGGGCCAAUACUGACGCUCAUGCACGAAAGCGUGGGGAGCAAACAGGAUUAGAUACCCUGGUAGUCCACGCCCUAAACGAUGUCAACUAGUUGUUGGGGAUUCAUUUCCUAGUAACGUAGCUAACGCGUGAAGUUGACCGCCUGGGGAGUACGGUCGCAAGAUUAAAACUUAAAUGAAUUGACGGGGUCAUAGCUG
rnacentral:rRNA from 1 species